AUCGCUUCUUGGCCUUUUGGCUAAGAUCAAGUAUAGUAUCCGGACUUAUCAGUUUAAUAUGUGAUAGGUUCUCUAUUGGAGGACAAUAUAUUAAAUGGAUUUUUGGAAUUAGGAGCUGGGAGAGGAGCUUGCUUCACCCACUCCACGCAUUGACCUGGUAUUGGAGUACUUCCAGGAACGGUGCACCCCAA